UACGUAGGGUGCGAGCGUUGUCCGGAAUUAUUGGGCGUAAAGGGCUCGUAGGCGGUCUGUCACGUCGGGAGUGAAAACUCGGGGCUUAACUCCGAGCCUGCUUCUGAUACGGGCAGACUAGAGGUAUGCAGGGGAGAAUGGAAUUCCUGGUGUAGCGGUGAAAUGCGCAGAUAUCAAGAGGAACACCUGCGGCGAAGGCGGGUUGCUGGGCCGACACUGACGCUGAUGCGCGAAAGCUAGGGGAGCGAACGGG
rnacentral:rRNA from 1 species